UUUCCUUUCUGCCGGCUGGAUGGAGACUUCAGAGAAAAAUACAUGAAAGGCCCAGAAUGGACUUCCAGAAGCAGCAUCCACACAGAGAACCAGUUGUUCACAUAUUUGAAUCCCACCACUGGUGUAAAGACUGCAAUAGCCACUACGUAGGAUAAACAGGCAGAAGACAAGCAGAAUGCAUCCAAGUACAGCAAUGAGCAGACAGAAGAUAUGAUAAAAACAUUUUAAUUUCACAUCAUAUAGACAGACUUAACCAUAGUUUUAACUGGGUAACUGUGACCAUCCUAGACUAAACCAAGAGAAUUUCUGGAAGCUUGGUAUUCUAAGAAAUUGGCCAUCAAUAGCCACAUAGACAUCUACAUAUUGUGCAAAAGAGAUAAACAAGAAGCCAAAAAGGAACAAAAAGAUCAAAACACUUCCCCACCAGCAAUAAACACCCAGAUGAAUGUAGAUUAACACCAAGAUUAACAUCAGACCAACAAUCAAGAUGUAAGUGAUACCCCAAUCAAAGAAAUUCCAAACAAGCUAACAGUAAACAGCUCAAAUAAAGAAGCUCCAGGACCAUUCCCACCAAUACUGAAUGGGCAACUCACUAGCAUAUAAAUUGAGAUCAAUCCCCGUUCUUUAGCACUGUUGAAGUUAUCUAAUUUGGGUAAUUAAAUGUCUGCAAGAAGACAACAAAACUAAGAGACCACCAAGCAUCCUUCAUGGAUAAAGGCUUUUAGUAAUUGAUGGCAAAAACAAAUCAAGCAAACAAGCAAAUAAAUAAAUAAAUAUACAAACUAAUUAUAUUUAGUUAUUUGUUAUAUAUUAUAUAAUAUAUACAAUAUUGUUGACCAUAUAUUAUUAUUUUCAUUAUUUUUUUUUAUUUUAUAUUGUAUUUUUAUGCUGCCUGGAGCCUUUUGUUGAAAUAGGUGGCUACAGGAAUCAAGUUAAUAAGCAAAUGAAUAAACUAAUUAUAUGUUAUUGUAUGGAGUGAUGCAAUAUAUUUUGAGCACUGCAUAGUAUAUACAAUAUAUAUUAUAUAAUAUACACACACACUAUAUGUCUCUCUGUGUGUAGUAUGUAUUGCAUACAUAUACAGUACUCAAAUUAUACUGCAACACAUGCUACAAGUUUGAAUUAAUUUGAUGAUCUCUCUAUGUCUAAUAUCCAAUGAGCUUACCAUCAUUAUAGGAUAGCACAGGGAACACUCUGCAUUACUCUAUUGUUUUACUGAAUGUAAUGUUAAUGUUAGGUUAAGCAAAGGAGAAAUCAGUAGAUUAGGAGCAACAAGGAUAUUUACUCGGAGUAUUGUGGACUUUAAAAAAGUUAAGCUUUGAAGAAGGAUGGCCUGGUCAUUUGGUCUCAGAAUUGUCUACAGCUUCAAUCACUGAAGGCUUGCAGUGAACUAAGCUGCCUGAAAGAGGUUGGGGAUAGGUUAGCAGUACAAUUAGCUGCCAUUGUUUGAUAAUUAUAUCCCUUGUAAUUGGAAUCUUGUGGAUGUUUAAUUGCAUUAUAUGGCAGACUUAAGCUGCAUUGCAUGGUUUCUUGGGGGAAAGUUCAUUCAUUGUUUGUGCAUUUAUACUUCUUGAAUUUGUUCAUUUCUGUUUAUGUCUUUUUUAUUGAGUCCAUGCUUUGUUUAACCUUACUAAACUUUAUACUGAUCAGA